AGUGAACGCUGGCGGUAGGCCUAACACAUGCAAGUCGAACGGCAGCACAGUAAGAGCUUGCUCUUACGGGUGGCGAGUGGCGGACGGGUGAGGAAUACAUCGGAAUCUACUUUUUCGUGGGGGAUAACGUAGGGAAACUUACCCUAUACCUCCUUAGGGCCAACGGGGGAAAGCAGGGGACCUCAGGCCCUGCGACGAUUCGAUGUCGGAUUAGCUAGUUGGUGGGGUAAAGGCCCACCAAGGCGACGAUCCGUAGCUGGUCUGAGAGGAUGAUCAGUCACACUGGAACUGAGACACGGUCCAGACUCCUACGGGAGGCAGCAGUGGGGAAUAUUGGACAAUGGGCGCAAGCCUGAUCCAGCCAUACCGCGUGGGUGAAGAAGGCCUUCGGGUUGUAAAGCCCUUUUGUUGGGAAAGAAAAGCAGCAGGUUAAUACCCCGCUGUUCUGACGGUACCCAAAGAAUAAGCACCGGCUAACUUCGUG
rnacentral:rRNA from 1 species